UUCUUGGUUCAUUAGAGGAAGUAAAAGUCGUAACAAGGUUUCCGUAGGUGAGUAAAAUCGCAUCCCCCACCCCUUUUUACCCGGAAUCACUGCUAACAUUCUAUUCAAGGUGAACCUGCGGAAGGAUCAUUAUCGAGUGAGGGUCACCAAGGCCUAACCUCCAACCCAUGUGUAUUCUACCACUGUUGCCUUGGCGGGACGUGAGAGUCUCACCGCUGGCUUUGGCCAGCGAGCGCCCGCCAGGGUCCACCUAACUCUGUUCAUGAUGUUGUCUGAGCAAACAAAAAUUUAUACAAAACUUUCAACAACGGAUCUCUUGGUUCUGGCAUCGAUGAAGAACGCAGCGAAAUGCGAUAAGUAAUGUGAAUUGCAGAAUUCAGUGAAUCAUCGAAUCUUUGAACGCACAUUGCGCCCCCUGGUACUCCGGGGGGCACACCUGUCCGAGCGUCAUCAUCAUCCUCAAGCUAAGCUUGUUGUUGGGCUUUGUCUCAUGGGGCAAGCCUAAAAGACAGUGGCGAUGCGGUCCGACCCCAAGCGCAGUGACUAAAUAUUCUCGCUUUGGGGCUGUGAGCGCGGCAGCCGUCAAACUCCAACAUUAAGUUUGACCUCGGAUCAGGUGGGGAUACCCGCUGAACUUAAGCAUAUCAAUAGGCGGGAGGAAA
rnacentral:rRNA from 1 species